GGUGUCCUGGUGGGAAAUAUGUGUUUGUAGACACACUUGUCACAAUGUGGUUUUCAGGUUCCUGUCAACAGAUCAUGAUGACCUUCAUAAUGAUUUUUAUCAGCGACAGUGCUCGUGUUGCGGUAAGUGACGAUAUGCCCCAAGCAUCCCCACAGACCUUCUGAUCUGGAGAUUUCCAGGUAAGUUUGAUAGCAUCACUAACAUUAGUGUACCCGUGGUUUCGUUUUGGGUUUUUUUGAGUAGGUAUUCAGGUAAAAAAUCAUCUCAAACAAUGCUAGUAAGCAUUAGCUCUUACAGGAUUAAAGUUCCGUCGGUGGAGCACGUGACUCUUGAUCUCGGGUUGUAAGUUCAAGCCCUGCACUGGCUUAGAGCUUCCUUUAAAAAAAGAUUAUUUAACACCCCCACUGAGUUUAUAUAUAUAAUGUGUGUCUAACAUCAGUAGUGACUGAGACCCGAGUGCAGGUUACUCAUCUAGGUUCCACACCACAGUUAUUACCAUAAGAUUUUUCCAGGUGGCCAGUCAAGAGGUGAUGAUGUCUCCCAUAUCCAUGUUGACCUUGAAGUUCUGCCAUGAUCCAGGUGACGUUGAUGGUUCCCAUAGUGAAAGAAUGGACCAAAAUUACCUAUAGAUACCCUGCCAGGAUGAGUUGUUGCCUUAUACACAUUCGCCCUCCCUCUUUUUUAGGAUCCUGUCGAGCAGUCACUCCAAACAGAAGAAUGGUUAUUAGCAAAAUCUUGUCAGGAACCAGUUAAGUGCUAAAGAGAGUUUUACCUAUGGGUAAGAGCAUCUCAUCCUCAGAUGAUCAAGGCAAGUGAGAAUGAUGUCUCUCACAUUUGUAUUACCAUCUUUCUGCAGAUAAACUAUUAAGGUUCUCCUAGUAACCAGGUCUCAGAUGCUAUGACAUUAACUCCAGGAGACAUUACUUUCAGAAAUCUGUGUGAUGAAUGAUAUUGUUCAGGCCCUAACAGUAACCUGGUGAGAGGCCUGUAUGCAGUUAAGCAAUUAAGUUGUCCCUAACAAUUAGUAUGCCUGAGAAUGUAUGGCUGUUAUUUAUGACGGUUUCGGACUGAUCGGGGAACUUUCACAUUCCCAGGUCCUUUAUCGUAUUGUCUAUCACUGUGUUACCAACCACAGGAUUUCUGCAGGCACUCCUUCAGGAGAGGAAGAUUGCUCUUCCUUGGGGCUGAUCUUGGAGUUUCGCAAGUAUAUUCAGGCCUCAUUGAUGGGUCCUGAGGUAACACAAAGGGCCAGGAGAGUUCGCAGCUGUCUGUAAGAAUGAACUCGUACCAAACGCAUUUGCCACAGUGUGUUUUUCAGCUUCCUGUCAAGACAUCACGAUGAACCCAGCCAUAGACAUUAGUGGGGAGCUUUAUGGCAGGACACAGAUAGGAGAGGCUGGGGUCCUAAAGCACAGGACAGGUCAUCUCAUCUCCACAUAGCUAGGUUCUUGUCAGGAGAACACAGUGAACCUCACCGUGGUUGGUAACAGAUCCUUACUAGUAACCAGGUAAGUGCUACCGUGGGUCUUACCAUACAGACUGAUCUAAUCUUCAAUGUCUAGGUAAAUGAGAAUGGCAUCCCUAACACUUGUGUUACUGUGUUUAUUCGCAGAUAUCCUCUUAAGAUCUUUCCUAGUACACAGGUAUACGAUAAUGCGACGUUAGCUUACUAGAGACAUUCUAAUUUUUAGAUCCCUAUGCAUUAAUAUGUUGAUGAUUCUAAUAUUGACAUUGUUUGGGCAUGUAUUCUGUUAAGAAAUUAAUGUAUUUCUCUAAUACUGGUAAGAAUGAGAGUUGUGUCCUUGUUUGCAGCUACUGUGUUUUCAAAACCAGUGGUGAUGGAAGGAUGUGCCGAUACCCAGUAAUGUAUCCUGUUGUCCAUCACAGCAUUAUUGACCCUGGCUUUUUUGUAGGGAUCCCUUCCAAGAGGAACCAGUCUCUUUCUAGCUUCAAUCUUGGAGCUCUGCAAGUACCCAGGAUGUCAUGGUGAGUCUUUCCAUGGUAGUUGAUGGAGGACAUUGGUGGUGCGAAGUAAGUGAUGAUGUGGGCCUGCGCCCCAGCAUGGACCAUCAGAUUUUCACACACACGGGGAAGUCUAUGUUGAACACUGUGAAUGUUGAGGGAUUGCAUAUAUGUUCCAGUCAGGACCUCACAGUGAACUUAGCAUUGGUCAUUCAUGGGGGCAGGGACUUUGCUGGUGUGCAGGUAAGGGAGGCUGUGGCCCUACACCACGGCACAAGCCAUCUGAUCUCCAAAUAGGUAAGUGAUUAUGGUGUCUCUAAGAGUCAUCAUGAUUUCUUUGUAAGUAUUCAGAUUGGAAUUGAUAGUCCUUACCAAUUCUGGAAAUGUUGAGGUUUUUACUUUUUGUAUUUUAGAAAAGGUGUUUGUUUAACCCUGUGAGUGUUGGGGGAUUGCCAUAUCCAUAUCAUGAUGUUCCCAACCUUGGCAGUAACCAUGGGAAUUUUGCAGGUGUCCUCUAAAGAAAUGUCUUACCUAACCACAAUGGCCUUGACCUUGGAGUACUGCAAGCAUUGAGGUACAGUUGACGUUCUCCUAAUAGUGGAAGUGACCAAAGUUAUUUGCAGGUGUUCUGGUUACAGCAAGUCAUAUCCCUUUACACAUAUAUCAUCAUAUUAUUUUGUCAGGUUUCUUCUAGAUCAUGAAACACUUAACAGUGGUCAUUAAUGGGGGACAUUUCUUAUAUCCAGUUUGCAGGUGUUCCUGUAAUGAUCAUGGAGCCGUCCAUCACACUAGAAACUAUGGUAUUUUUGCUGAUAACCAUUCAAGAGACGGUGGUGUUUCUAACAGUGGUGUAGGUGGUGGAGCACUGCAAAAUCCAGGUUGCUGUCAAGAAAUCAUGGUAAGCCUCACCAUGACUGUUAACAGAACUUUGGUUGCAUCCAGGUAAGUGAUGAUAUGAGCCUAAAGCAUCUUACAAACAAUCUGAUCUUCAAAUACUUAGAUUAGUGUGGAUGGUCUUAACAUUUGCGAUAGCAUGUUUUUCUGCAUGUGUCCAGUUAAGAAAUGAAACUGUUCCAACUGAUAUUAGUUGUAACCAUUAGCCCUUAGUAUUAUAAAGUUUCUAUUCAAUGGGCAUUUAAACUUAGUAGUGAUGGAGGCAGAUACAGGUGUCUAGGGAAGGUACCCUACUGUUCCACCCCACAUUAUUGUCCAUGAGAUCCCUACAGAUAGAUACUCAAGAAGGUGAUGUCUCUCGUAAUGGUGUUAAUCUUGAAGUUCUGCCAAUAUCCAGGUAGUGAUGAUGGUUUCCAAUAAUGGCAGUAACCAAAAUUAUUUGUAAGUAUCUUUUUCCCCCCCAGGUAAAGUAAGUUGUAUCCUUCAACACACUUGUUGUAUUUUUUAAGGUUCCAGCCAUUAUGACAUCACAGUGAAACAAAUGAUGGUCCUUGACGGGACCUUGCCAGUAACCAGUUAUGUGAUAGACUGGUUUUACCAAAACAUAGAUCCAGCUGAUCUUUGGGUAUUUAGGUGAGUGAGGAUGGUGUCCCUAACACAGUGUUACUGUGCUUUUUGCUGGGAUCCCAUUAAGUUCUUUGCUAGUAUAAAAAUAUGAGAUGACGCGACAAUAAAUCAUUAGAGAUUUCUUAUCUUCAGAUACAUAAGCAAUUAAUGUUUUCUAGACCUUUAUAAUUAAUCUUCUUGGCAUACAAACUGUUCAGAAAUCAAUUUGUCCCUAACAAUACUAGCCUGAGCUUUUACUGUCUCCUUGUUCAGAGAUAACAUGUGUUUAUACGCCCAUACCAAUCGACCUAUAUAGUCCGUUAUCCAGGUAAUUUAUCAUAUGUUCCAUAUUUGUGAUAAUGACUGUGGUAUCUUUGCAGGUAUCCCCUCAAGAGAUGAAGGUAAAUCUAACUACAAUUUAACCUUUUGAGUUCUACAUAUUGCCCAGUAAUGUGGAAAGGGGCCACAAAAUAAUGCACUGACCAAGAGAGCUUGCAGUUACCCAGGUCGAAUAAAAUGUGUGUGGAGCAAGUUUUCUAUGCUGUGUUUUCAGGUUCAUGUUAAGACAUCAGUCACCGUACAGGAAGCGCACAGCAGGUACGGAGGUAAGUGAGGAUGACCCACAGUGCAGAACAUCUGCUCCUGUAUGUAAUGUAGGUAAGGGAUGGUGUCUAAUACCUCUCGUUACUAUGAUUCCAUUGCAGGUAUCCAGGUAAGAAAUGAUAGUCCUUACCAAAUCUAGUGACCAUGACUUUACACUUUUUACAUUUUAGAGAUAACAUGUUUAACCCUGUGAGUGUUGAGAGUUGACCGUAUCCGUAAUUGUCAAGUUCCCACUCCAGUCGUGACUACAGUGUUUAUGCAGGAAUCCAGUUAAGACACGAUGGCUUUCUUCUGACCAAGGUGUUGACCUGAAUUAAUGCAAGUGUCAGGGUAGAAUCAGUGUGUUAUGUGUUCCGUAAUAAUGGAAGUGAAAAGGAUUAUUAUCAGGUGUUCUGGUAGAAGAAGUCGUGUCCUUAAACACACUUUUCCUAUGUGUUUCUUCAGUUUCCUUUCAAGAAAACAUAGUCAGCCUAACAAUGAUUGUUAACAGAACCUUGCCCUUGACCAGGUACAUGAUAAAAGUGAAUCUGGUCCCACUGCAAACCAUCUGAUCUUCAGCAUGAAGCAGGUAUCCUUUCAAAAGAAGUAGAUGUCCCUUCCCAGGAUUUGACCUUGGAGUUCUGCAAGUCAAAGUAUCCAGGUUAAUAUCAAGACCUCACAGUGGAGUUUAUCAGGGAUAGUGUGGGACACUGCUGGUAUGGGGGUAAGUGAUCCUGUGGGUCGAAACCACAGCAUAUGCCAUCUGGCCUUUGGGUACCUAAGUAAGUGAUGAGUGUCCUUACAUUCCUUGUUACCAUGAAUUUUUUUUUUUUUUUUUGAAGGUGUGAGGUAAGGAAUGAUGGAGUCCUCACCAGCUCCAGAGACCAUAUUUCUCCACUUUUCUGUAUUUCUGGAAAUGUUCAUUUUUAACCCUAUGAGUGUUGGACUGCUAUACACAGGUCUUUAUCAUGAUACUAUUCUCCAUCAUGAUACUACUUUAUCAUGAUACUAUUCUCAGAUCAUGAUAGUAUUCUCCAUAGGAUACUUACAGGUGACCAAUCAUAGAAUGACCGUUUUAUCUGUAUUAACUUUGGAUUAUUUUAAGUAUCCCAUAGAGCUGAUGUGUCUCGUAAUGAUGAAGUGAAUGUUAUUUGUAGGUUUCCUGAUAGGAAAAAGUCAUGUCCUUUAAACACACAUUCACAGUGUCUUUCCAGUUAAGAAGUCAUGGUGAACCUGACACUGCUCAUCCCUGGGAAUGUUCCUGGUGUGCAGAGAGAGAAAGAGAGAGAUCACAAGCAGGCAGAGAGGCAGGCAGAGGGAGAGGAGGAAGCAGACUCCCCGCUGAGCAGAGAGCCCAAUAUGGGCCUCGAUCCCAGGACCCCAAGAGCAUGACCUGAGCCGAAGGCAGAGGCUUAACCCACUGAGCCACUCAGGCGCCCCUAGAGAAACUUUUAUGUUAACCUGAUUCCUGUCAAGAGAUCAAGGGGAAAUUAAUGGUUAACGGGGGACAUUGCUGGUAUCCAGGUGAGCGAUGUUGUUUAUCUUCACCAUAUGAGACCAACUGACAUUCACAUACCUAGUUACGUGAUAAUGAAGGACUAAACUUGUUCUACUAUGUGAUUUAGUUCAGCUUUUCAGGAGACACUUGUGGGUCUGCACAUAAUGACGAUGGAAUUGUACAACUGCUGAUUGUACAACUGCACAACAGUAACCAGGGUCCCUGGUGUUUCUGACAAUGGCAUGGACUUUGGAGCACUGCGGGAAUCCAGGUGGAGUUAGAUGUUGGGUUCUGCAGCGAUGGUAGUGAGGAAGGCUACUCGCAGGCACCUGGCAGCAAAGGUGUCCCGGUAGAUACCUUUUCUACAAGUGUUUGUCAUGGUAAAGUGAAGUCAUGGUAAAUAUCCUAAUGAUCAAUAAUAAGACUUUGCUUGUGUCUCGGUAAGUAAUGACGUGGGCCUCUGGCACCCUAAAUGCAGUCUGGUCUUCAGUUAUGUAGGGAAGGAUGGACAGUGUGCCUAACUUUUCUGUUUUUAUGCAGGGAUUCAGUGAAGAAAUGCUGUUGUCCCAAGGAUAGCCCUAAUGUUUUUGAGAGUUCACCUAUCACGUGUGCUUAACCUGAGUGAUGACCAAAGGACAUGAAGGUGUGCACUAAGUCAUCCUCCUGUUCCACACCGUGCUUUUGACCAGGAGACUUCUACAGGUGCUUGAAGAUGGUCCAUCUCUAACACUGAUGUUGAUGUUGAAGUUCUGAAAGAACCGGGUAGUGUUGGUGAUUCACUUAAUGAUGUGACUAUAACAUGAUUGGCUGGUACCUUUUUUUGUUUCGUUUUUGAUUCAAGUUGAACAAACUGUCAUUUAGCCCCUAAACACUUGUUUUUGAAAGGUUCCAGUUGUGCGUUGGACCUCGAUAGUAAGCAGGUAUGUAAGUACAGAUCAUUUGAUCUUCACCCAUCUAGGGAAAUGAGGAUGGGGUCUCUCAACACAGUGUUACCAUGUUUUUUGCAGGCAUCCUGUUAAGGCCUUUGCCUCUAGUGUAUGGGUAGGAGAAGUUGUGUCAGUCCCUCAUUAGAGACAUUCUCAAUCUUAGGAUCUACAAAAUGAAUGUUUCUGAGACACAUUCACCUAGUUUUUGUCAUCAUAUAGUUAAGAAAUUAACUUGUCCCUAGUAAUACUAGUAAGAGUGAGAUUUGUCUAUUCUUCAUUAAAUAACACAUAUUAAUACUAAUGAAAGAUGGUUAUGCAGAUUUUCAUGUAACUUAUUAUAUCGUCCUUUACAGUGUUACUGACAAAGGGGUUGUUGCAGGCACCCUUCCAAGAGAGGAAGGUGUCUCCUCUUACGGUUUGACCUUGGCGUUCUGCAAGCAAGUAUCCAGGUACUGUGGAUGGAUCCCAAAAUGAUACAAGUGACAAGGGACUUUGAAGGUGUGGAAGUGAAAUAAGACAUUUAUUACGGUAUGUUUUUCAAGUUCACAUCAACACAUUAAUGGUAAACCUAUCAAUGGUAGUUAACAUUGGACAUUGUUGUAUGGAGGUGGGUGAUGCUUGGACAUACAGAUAUUUAAUAUCUGUGUUUAAUAGUCAGAUAUUAAUUGAUAUUAAAUCAUAUUUAAUAAUCAGAUGUUUACAUAGGUGAUGUGUUUCUCACGUUUCUUAUUAUCAUGACUCUUUUGCACGUAGUCAGGUAAGAAAUCAUAGAAACCUUAUAAAUUCUAACGACCAUAUUAUCCUACUGUUUUACAUGUUAGAGAAAAUUAUGUUUGACCAUGUGAUUGUUGAGCAAUUUACAGAUAUCCACAUAAUUACGACUGAGCUGUGAGUUACAGGAAUAACCUUGGUAUUUUUCAGGAGAGCAGUCAAGAGAUGAUGACGUCUCUAACAAUGGCACCGAUCUUAGGGUACUUCAAGGUUCCAGGGAGAGCUGAUGAGUUCUGCGGUUAUGGCAGUGAACAAGGUUUUUUUGGGGGUCCAGCUGUAGAAAGUGUGACUGUAGAUGUAUUUGCCACAAAGUGUUUUCCAGGUUCCUGUCAAGAGAUCACAGUGAACCUCCUAAUGAUCAUUAAAGGGACAUUGCUUGAAUCAGGUAAGCGCUGCUCUGUGCCCCAAGCUCCCUACAGAUCACCUGAUCUUCAGAUCUUAGAGUCAGUGGGGUUCUUAACAUUUGUGUUACCAUGGUGGGUUUGUUUUUUUUUUCUUUUGCGAUUAUGUUUUCCCAACAUAAUAAGUCUUGCCCAACAUAACCAAUAAGUCUUUAUUAUUUUAGAGUUUAGAUAUACUGUAUAUUUAACCCUAGUAGCAACUGAGGGAUAGGUGGGUGUCCCAGUAACUUACUCCUCUGUUCCACACCAUGGUACUUACAAUGAGAUUUCUCUAGGUAGUCAGGAAAGAGACGACGGUUUCUCUAACUCUGGUGUUUACCUUUAACCUCUGUGAGGAUCCCAGGAGUCUUGGUGGUUCCUGCAGCGAUGGAGGUGAUCAAGAUUAUUUGCAGGAUUUUUUUUUUAAUUUUUGUAUAUAAAACAUGUUUUGUCCUUCAACACACUUGUCCAUCAUGUCCUCAGGUUCCAGCAGUCAUGAGAUCACAGUGAACCUGACAAUGGUCCUUAACAGGACCUUACCAGUAACCAAGUAAGUGAAAAAGUGGGUCUUAGCUCAAUACAACCAUCUGAUCUUCAGAUAUCUGAGUGAUUGAGUGUGGUUUCCGAAACACCAUGUCACCUAGUGGUUUCGCAAUUGUCCCCAUGAAGGCCUUUCCUGGUACUCCGGUAUGAGAACAUGCGGCAUUACCGCCUUAGAGAGCUGCUUGAUUUUCAUAUGUGAAUGUGGCUUUCAACACUAUGGUACCUGUGAUUUUGACAUCUUUGCAGCUCAGAAAUUGACCCAACUAGUGCUAGUAAGUAUGAGACUUUACUGGUUUCUCGUUCCGAGAUUGUAUGUUUCCUACAGCCCGGGGGGGUGGAAGGCAGAGACCUGCUCAUUCCUCAUACUAUCCCUCACCACGUGACUGCCCGGGGCAGUUUUGCAGGUAGCCCUUCAGGAGAGGAAGGUAUCUCUCGUUAGGAUAAAACGUCAGUGUCCUGCAGGUAUCCAGGUAACACUGAUGAACUGCAGAUGAUACAGUUGACUGAGGAAUUUGCUGGUGUCCCACUAGAAUGAGCCGUGGACCAAGCACAUUUUCCACUAUUUUUUCCCAGGUUCAUGUGAAGACCUCACUAUGAGCCUGUCGCUGGUAGUUAAUGUCGUGCUCAUGUCAGAUGCUGGAGUACAUGAUGACGUGGGUCUACACCAUGGCACAGGUCACAUGAUCUUCAUACACAGAGGUGAGUGAUUACAGUGGCUCUCACACCUGGGUUAGCAUACAUUUUUGCAGAUAUCCCUCUCGGGCCUUGACAGUACACCGUAUGUGCGUGCUGUAGUGUGAACUCAUUAUAGACGUCCUUGCUCCAGACUCCUACUUCCCCCAUUUGGGGCAAGUACAAGUUCCAUUAAUUGGACCCUCCUAGUACUAGCCAAGUAGGAGUUUUUAUUGUUCUCUUGUACGGUGAUAAAGUGUAUUUCUCACUCACAGUGGCAGACAAAUGGUAAACAUCCAGGUUCUUUAUUAUAUUGUUGUAACUGCAUUAUUACUGUGGGAUAUUUGCAGGUGUGCCUCCAAGAGAGGAAGGUAAACCUUACUGGAGUUUAACCUCAGUGUUUUGGGAGUGUCCAGGUAAUGUUCAUGGGUUCCCAAAUGGUACAGGUGACAAGGGGAUUUGCAAGUGCACAGGGAGAAGAACGAGAUGUGUACCAAACACAUAAACCACCACACAUUUUCCAGCACAUGGGGAGAGAUCCCCUGAGCCUAGCCAUAGCCAUGAAUGGGGCUGGGGGACAUUGCUCGUAUCGAGGUAAGUGAUACACUAGACUGAAACCACAAAUGAUUAGGUAAGUUGGUAACAUGUGCUAACACUUCUUAUUAUCCUGAUUUUGUUGCAGGGAUUCAGGUAAGAAAUAAAAACCCUUACCAAUUCUAGAGACUAUACAUUUUUACUUUUUACGUUUUAGAUAAAAUUUAUGUUUAAUACCAUAUAUGUUAAGAGAUCAUAGGUAUGUAGGUAUUUGUCAUGGUUUUCCCUGCCACAGUACUACCCAUAUGAUUUUUUACAGGUGUGCAGUCAAGAAAUGAUGGUUUUCGGACAUUGGUGUUGACCUGGG